rnacentral:rRNA from 1 species
GAUGAACGCUAGCGGCAGGCCUAAUACAUGCAAGUCGAGGGGUAGAUAAGUGCUUGCACUUAUUGAGACCGGCGAACGGGUGCGUAACACGUAUGCAACCUACCUUCAACUGGGAAAUAGCCCGAAGAAAUUCGGAUUAAUAUCCCAUAAUUUUACUUUAAGGCAUCUUUUAGUAAUUAAAGCUCCGGCGGUUGGAGAUGGGCAUGCGGUCCAUUAGUUAGUUGGUGAGGUAACGGCUCACCAAGACCACGAUGGAUAGGGGGUCUGAGAGGAUGAUCCCCCACACUGGUACUGAGACACGGACCAGACUCCUACGGGAGGCAGCAGUAGGGAAUAUUGGACAAUGGGCGCAAGCCUGAUCCAGCCAUGCCGCGUGCAGGAUGACGGCCCUAUGGGUUGUAAACUGCUUUUAUAUGGGAAGAAACACUCCGACGUGUCGGAGCUUGACGGUACCAUACGAAUAAGGAUCGGCUAACUCCGUGCCAGCAGCCGCGGUAAUACGGAGGGUCCGAGCGUUAUCCGGAAUCAUUGGGUUUAAAGGGUCCGUAGGCGGGAAUCUAAGUCAGUGGUGAAAUCUUGCAGCUCAACUGUAAAAUUGCCAUUGAUACUGGAUUUCUUGAAUUAGUGUGAAGUGGUUAGAAUGUGUAGUGUAGCGGUGAAAUGCAUAGAUAUUACACAGAAUACCAAUUGCGAAGGCAGCUCACUAACACUAUAUUGACGCUGAGGGAC